CAGGACUACACACGCUAAACACUGUCCAUUCUGGGAACUGACCCACUUAACUACUCUUAGGGCAUGCUACCUUGUGGUAAUUAACUCCGUAAAAGAUCUGUAUUGUCUUGGUAAUUUGAAAAAUGCUAGAUAGGGAUUUUAAUCAGAACUAUUACUAUAUUCUCAUCUAGAUUCAUGAACUCUCAAAGUGAUCAUCUAGCUCUUGCAUUUUUUAUCAUAUGGAAGAAAAACAAUAAUUACAUUUGUAGCUAAUCUAUAUAUUUGCAUGGAUUACCAGACUGAGAACUAAAACUGUAUUAUGUGUAAAUUCCUUGAUUUGUGGAAUAGCUUCGGUACUAAUCAUGUUUAGUUUUUGUUUAUCAAGCUAGAAGCAACUUUAGUGUGGGCCUUAGUCAUCACUCACUCACCUGCCUCCCCUCCACCCCUACCUCCCCCUCCACCUGUACCUGCUCCUCCUCAGACCUAGACGUUGACGAAGGUACAGACGAUUAUGGCCUCGUCCUGCCUCCAACCUUGACCCUUGCCUCCACCCCUGGGUCUACCCUGAGGUCUCCUCCUGGACCCUUCAGCUGCCUCGGACCCUGCAGCUGCAUUAGACCCUCUACCGGUCGCUUUUGCAUAAAGCGUCGCUAACCUCCUCGUACCGCC
rnacentral:lncRNA from 1 species